rnacentral:rRNA from 1 species
AGAACGAACGCUGGCGGCAUGCCUAAUACAUGCAUGUCGAACGAGAUCUUCGGAUCUAGUGGCGCACGGGUGCGUAACGCGUGGGAAUCUACCCUUGGGUUCGGAAUAACAGUUGGAAACGACUGCUAAUACCGGAUGAUGACGAAAGUCCAAAGAUUUAUCGCCCAGGGAUGAGCCCGCGUAGGAUUAGCUAGUUGGUGAGGUAAAGGCUCACCAAGGCCACGAUCCUUAGCUGGUCUGAGAGGAUGAUCAGCCACACUGGGACUGAGACACGGCCCAGACUCCUACGGGAGGCAGCAGUAGGGAAUAUUGGACAAUGGGGGCAACCUGAUCAGCAAUGCGCGUGAGUGAUGAAGGCCUUAGGGUUGUAAACGCUUCUUUACCCGAGUACUAGAUAAUAGACAGUAUCGGAGAAUAAGCUCGCUACUCGCGCACGCAGCCGC